rnacentral:tRNA from 1 species
UGGGGUGUGGCUCAAUGGUAGAGUGCUUGCCUAGCAUGCGUGAGGCUCUGGGUUCAAUACCCAGCAUUGCAA